AGAAUCUGAGACCCAAGAGCUGGAUUAAGUGUCCAACAGCCUCGUUUUACAGAGGAAUGAACCAAGACUCAUGGGAGAAGUCACGGACAAAGCCAGAUAAGAGCCCAGGACUGGAUCUUCCCACCCACUGCACCACACUGUCUGUCCCGCUCCUCCUCCCCUUCAGCUUAGCACUGUGACAGGGAAAUGAAGCCCAGAGAAGGAUGGCGACAGACCCAAGAUCGCACAGAACACCCAUCUCCUGACUCCCAGUCCAGAACUCUUUCCCCUGCGGUAAACUCCUUGUUCAGAUCACAUAUGAAGAGUUGGGUCAAGCAGGAUUAGAGCCCGGGAGCAACUUUCCCAAGACUGGGCGAUGUUGAUGAAGUAACUGGAGCUUCUGUGGCUUCUUGAUGUCAUCCCCCACUACUUCUUCCUUUAAUCCAGUUUCUGAUGAGGAGGUGCUCUUCUUUUGGCCAAGACAAACCCUUCUACAGCUCUAUCCCUCAUUAGAUGACCUGACCAGCUCCUGUGGGUUUAAUUACCAUUUCUCUGCAGAUGUUUCCUAGAUCUAUACAACCAUCUGUGGUCUCUCUUCCAAACUCAUCAGAUCCAUCAUAAAUGCUUGGUGAUUGCUUGAUUGCAGUGGAUUUGGAGUCAGAAGACCCGGAUUCAAUUUCCAUCUCAAUUAAUGGCAACAUUCACUUGGAGAAGUCCCCUCCUGUCCUUUGGCCCUUGCAGCUUCAUCUAUAAACUUAUGGAUGUGAGCCGGAUUAUUUCGAAGCUCCCUUCUGGCUCUCAGCUGGCCAGUCGUGUGAUCUCCUCUGACCUGCUCAGAAGAAGCAAAAACAUUCUGACGAUCUGAGCCAUCCAGCUGUGGCGUGACAGGACAGGCCGGGGGUUAGAAAUCCCCGUCGCUGGAUGCUGCAGGACUCAGAGCUGGAAGGGACAUUUGGAUGCCUUUUUUCAGAGGGUCAGGCCCAGAGACUAUUCAACGUCACCGCUAGUAAGUGUCAGGGUUCAUAACAGUAGAGCAUUUACUGAUGAGGAAAC